rnacentral:rRNA from 1 species
AGAGUUUGAUCCUGGCUCAGAUUGAACGCUGGCGGCAUGCCUUACACAUGCAAGUCGAACGGCAGCGCGGACUUCGGUCUGGCGGCGAGUGGCGAACGGGUGAGUAAUACAUCGGAACGUACCCUGUUGUGGGGGAUAACUAGUCGAAAGAUUAGCUAAUACCGCAUACGACCUGAGGGUGAAAGCGGGGGACCGCAAGGCCUCGCGCAGCAGGAGCGGCCGAUGUCUGAUUAGCUAGUUGGUGGGGUAAAGGCCCACCAAGGCGACGAUCAGUAGCUGGUCUGAGAGGACGAUCAGCCACACUGGGACUGAGACACGGCCCAGACUCCUACGGGAGGCAGCAGUGGGGAAUUUUGGACAAUGGGGGCAACCCUGAUCCAGCAAUGCCGCGUGUGUGAAGAAGGCCUUCGGGUUGUAAAGCACUUUUGUCCGGAAAGAAAACGCUCUGGUUAAUACCUGGAGUGGAUGACGGUACCGGAAGAAUAAGCACCGGCUAACUACGUGCCAGCAGCCGCGGUAAUACGUAGGGUGCGAGCGUUAAUCGGAAUUACUGGGCGUAAAGCGUGCGCAGGCGGUUUUGUAAGACAGGCGUGAAAUCCCCGAGCUCAACUUGGG